rnacentral:tRNA from 1 species
GAAAAAGUAUGCAAGAACUGCUAACUCUACACCCCAUGCCUAACAGCAUGGCUUUUUCG